rnacentral:rRNA from 1 species
UUGGUCAUUUAGUGGAAGUAAAAGUCGUAACAAGGUUUCCGUAGGUGAACCUGCGGAAGGAUCAUUAUUGAAUUUUGAAGAGGUUGUAGCUGGUCUUCAUAAGACAUGUGCACACUUCUAUUCCAAAUUUUACACCCUGUGCACUUUUGUAGGCCAUUGAUUUGGUCUAUGUUUUUUCAAUACACCCUGUUAUAAAGUUAUGAAUGCUCAAUUAUUAAAUUAAUACAACUUUCAACAACGGAUCUCUUGGCUCUCGCAUCGAUGAAGAACGCAGCGAAAUGCGAUAAGUAAUGUGAAUUGCAGAAUUCAGUGAAUCAUCGAAUCUUUGAACGCACCUUGCGCUCCUUGGUAUUCCGAGGAGCAUGCCUGUUUGAGUGUCAUUAAAUUCUCAAACUCUCUCUCUUAUUAGAGAGAGAGAGGCUUUGGAUUUGGAGGUGUUUGCUGGCUUAUUUGUCGGCUCCUCUUAAAUGCAUUAGCUUGCACUUUUUUGUGGAUAGGCUUUGGUUUGAUAAUAUCUAUGCCAUCGCCGUGAAACAAAUGUUAGCUUAUAAUGGUCCUUUCUGGACAACCUUUUGACAUUUUGACCUCAAAUCAGGUAGGACUACCCGCUGAACUUAA